rnacentral:rRNA from 1 species
UACGGAGGGGGCUAGCGUUGUUCGGAAUUACUGGGCGUAAAGCGCGCGUAGGCGGCUUCGCAAGUCAGAGGUGAAAGCCCGGAGCUUAACUCCGGAAUUGCCUUUGAGACUGCGUCGCUAGAAUCCGGGAGAGGUGAGUGGAAUUCCGAGUGUAGAGGUGAAAUUCGUAGAUAUUCGGAAGAACACCAGUGGCGAAGGCGGCUCACUGGACCGGUAUUGACGCUGAGGUGCGAAAGCGUGGGGAGCAAACAGG